UACAGAGGUCCCGAGCGUUGUUCGGAUUUACUGGGCGUAAAGGGCGCGUAGGCGGCAAUUCAAGUCAUCUGUGAAAUCUCCGGGCUUAACUCGGAACGGUCAGAUGAUACUGCUUUGCUAGAGUGCGGAAGGGGCAAUCGGAAUUCUUGGUGUAGCGGUGAAAUGCGUAGAUAUCAAGAGGAACACCUGAGGUGAAGACGGGUUGCUGGGCCGACACUGACGCUGACAGCGCGAAAGCCAGGGGAGCAAACGGG
rnacentral:rRNA from 1 species